rnacentral:rRNA from 1 species
AUUGAACGCUGGCGGCAUGCCUUACACAUGCAAGUCGAACGGUAACAGCACUUCGGUGGCUGACGAGUGGCGAACGGGUGAGUAAUACAUCGGAACGUGCCCGAGAGUGGGGGAUAACGCAGCGAAAGCUGUGCUAAUACCGCAUACGAUCUACGGAUGAAAGCAGGGGACCGCAAGGCCUUGCGCUCAUGGAGCGGCCGAUGGCAGAUUAGGUAGUUGGUGGGAUAAAAGCUUACCAAGCCGACGAUCUGUAGCUGGUCUGAGAGGACGACCAGCCACACUGGGACUGAGACACGGCCCAGACUCCUACGGGAGGCAGCAGUGGGGAAUUUUGGACAAUGGGCGCAAGCCUGAUCCAGCCAUUCCGCGUGCAGGAUGAAGGCCUUCGGUUGUAACGUAGCUUUGUACGGUAACGAACGGACGAGCUACUAUACUAGUUGUACUAUAGACGGUAACCGUAACGAAUAAGACACCGGACUAACUACGU